GGAGCUUCAUGUGGCCCAAUGGUAGAGCACCUACUUGGCAUGCAGAAGGUCCCAGGUUCAAUCCCAGGCAACUCUA
rnacentral:tRNA from 1 species